rnacentral:lncRNA from 1 species
UUUUCCAUUCUACGUCCCGUGAUGUAAUAAAAUCUAGUGUUACAAAAAGUUAUAAAAUAACAAAAAUAAGUUUCUUAUCAUUAAACAAGCAAUUUACUUGUCGAAGCCUUAGAAACUCUCUAGAAAACGCGGAAAAGGUGAUUGCCUAAAUACAAAGCGGACAUAAUUAAUCCGGUUUUUUAGUAGGAGUUUUUAACUAAUAAUUUGAUAUUUUUUAUUUUUUCUAUUUUUUUUACAUUUUUCAGUUAAAAAACAGUUUUUAUAUCUCUUGUUUAAAAGACGAUUUUUAAUUUUCUUUAAUUAGAAUCUAAGAAAAACUAAGAAUGUCUUUUAACAGAAGCUAAGAACUCCAGCUAAGAAACUAGAGUUAAUCAUGGUAUAAUCCUGAUCAAUGUCUUAGUGAUAAGUAUGUCUCUCAAUUCCUUUCACUAAACGUAAACAUGGCAUGUGCCACCUAUAACCACACAUACGACCACUUAAUUACUGAUAAUUAAGGAUUUCUCCAUUAUUCACAGUAUAAUCAUAUACUAUUAACAUCAUUUUCAAUUGUUUACUCUAUUUU